rnacentral:rRNA from 1 species
GAUGAACGCUGGCGGCGUGCCUAACACAUGCAAGUCGAACGGACAAAGAUGAAACCUAGUGAUUCUUUGUUAGUGGCGGACGGGUGAGUAACGCGUGGGUAACCUGCCCUGUACCGGGGGAUAACACUUAGAAAUAGGUGCUAAUACCGCAUAAGCGCACGAAGAUGCAUGUCUUUGUGUGAAAAACUCCGGUGGUACAGGAUGGACCCGCGUCUGAUUAGCUAGAUGGUGAGGUAACGGCCCACCAAGGCGACGAUCAGUAGCCGGCCCGAGAGGGUGACCGGCCACAUUGGGACUGAGACACGGCCCAA